CAUCGGAACGUGCCCAAUCGUGGGGGGAUAACGCAGCGAAAGCUGUGCUAAUACCGCAUACGAUCUACGGAUGAAAGCAGGGGAUCGCAAGACCUUGCGCGAAUGGAGCGGCCGAUGGCAGAUUAGGUAGUUGGUGAGGUAAAGGCUCACCAAGCCUUCGAUCUGUAGCUGGUCUGAGAGGACGACCAGCCACACUGGGACUGAGACACGGCCCAGACUCCUACGGGAGGCAGCAGUC
rnacentral:rRNA from 1 species